rnacentral:rRNA from 1 species
GACGAACGCUGGCGGCGUGCUUAACACAUGCAAGUCGAACGGAAAGGCCCUGCUUGCAGGGUACUCGAGUGGCGAACGGGUGAGUAACACGUGGGUGAUCUGCCCUGCACUUCGGGAUAAGCCUGGGAAACUGGGUCUAAUACCGGAUAGGAGCCAUUUUUAGUGUGAUGGUUGGAAGUUUUUUCGGUGUAGGAUGAGCUCGCGGCCUAUCAGCUUGUUGGUGGGGUAAUGGCCUACCAAGGCGGCGACGGGUAGCCGGCCUGAGAGGGUGGACGGCCACAUUGGGACUGAGAUACGGCCCAGACUCCUACGGGAGGCAGCAGUGGGGAAUAUUGCACAAUGGGCGCAAGCCUGAUGCAGCGACGCCGCGUGGGGGAUGACGGCCUUCGGGUUGUAAACUCCUUUCGCUAGGGACGAAGCUUUUUGUGACGGUACCUAGAUAAGAAGCACCGGCUAACUACGUG